UCGAGCCGGGGGAGCGGAGGGAUUAGAACCCCUGUAGUCCUGGCCGUAAUCAAUGAACACUAGGUGUCGGGGGAAUCGACCCCCUCGGUGUCGUAGCCAACGCGUUAAGUGUUCCGCCUGGGGAGUACGCACGCAAGUGUGAAACUCAAAGGAAUUGACGGGGGCCCGCACAAGCGGUGGAGUAUGUGGUUUAAUUCGAUGCAACGCGAAGAACCUUACCAGGGUUUGACAUCCUGCGAAUCCCUUGGAAACGAGGGAGUGCCUUCGGGAGCGCAGAGACAGGUGGUGCAUGGCUGUCGUCAGCUCGUGUCGUGAGAUGUUGGGUUAAGUCCCGCAACGAGCGCAACCCACGUCGUUAGUUGCCAGCAUUCAGUUGGGCACUCUAGCGAGACCGCCGGUGAUAAACCGGAGGAAGGUGUGGAUGACGUCAAGUCAUCAUGCCCCUUACAUCCUGGGCUACACACGUACUACAAUGCUACGGACAAAGGGCAGCGAGCUCGCGAGAGUAAGCAAAUCCCCAUAAACUGUGGCUCAGUUCAGAUCGUAGGCUGCAACUCGCCUACAUGAAGGAGGAAUCGCUAGUAAUCGCAGGUCAGCCUACUGCGGUGAAUACUUUCCCCGGGCCUUGUACACACCCGCC
rnacentral:rRNA from 1 species